AGAGUUUGAUCCUGGCUCAGGAUGAACGCUAGCGGCAGGCCUAAUACAUGCAAGUCGAACGGGCAGUAGCGAUACUGUUAGUGGCGCACGGGUGCGUAACGCGUAACCAACCUACCCGGAACUGGGGGAUAGCCCGCCGAAAGGCGGAUUAAUACCGCAUAAGCUCUUCGCCUGGCAUCAGGCGAUUAGUAAAGAUUCAUUGGUUUUGGAUGGGGUUGCGUGCCAUUAGCUGGUUGGGGGGGUAACGGCCCACCAAGGCGACGAUGGCUAGGGGAGCUGAGAGGCUGGUCCCCCACACGGGCACUGAGACACGGGCCCGACUCCUACGGGAGGCAGCAGUAGGGAAUAUUGGGCAAUGGCCGAGAGGCUGACCCAGCCAUGCCGCGUGCAGGACGAAGGCUUUCUGAGUCGUAAACUGCUUUUACCAGGGAAGAAUAAAGGCUGUGCGCAGUUCGACGACGGUACCUGGGGAAUAAGCACCGGCUAACUCCGUGCCAGCAGCCGCGGUAAUACGGAGGGUGCGAGCGUAGUCCAGAUAUAUGGGGUUUAAAGGGUGCGUAGGCAGCCCGCUAAGUCUGGGGUGAAAGCGCGCUGCUCAACAGCGGAACUGCCCCGGAUACUGGCGGGGCUUGAGGACAGGCAAGGUUGGCGGAGUGGAGGGUGUAACCGUGAAAUGCCUANAUACCCUCUAAAUCCCCCAUGGCAAAGGCACUGACUAGGCGGUACCUGACGCUAUGCCCUAAGCGUGGGACGACUGGAUUAA
rnacentral:rRNA from 1 species